rnacentral:rRNA from 1 species
CGAACGCUGGCGGCGUGCUUAACACAUGCAAGUCGAACGAAGCUUGAUUACGGAUUCUUCGGAUGAAGUAUGAUAUGACUGAGUGGCGGACGGGUGAGUAACGCGUGAGUAACCUGCCCUUCAGAGGGGGAUAGCGUUUGGAAACGAACGGUAAUACCGCAUAAAGUAUUUUGACCGCAUGAUCGAAAUACCAAAGAUUUAUCGCUGAAGGAUGGACUCGCGUCUGAUUAGGUAGUUGGUGGGGUAACGGCCUACCAAGCCGACGAUCAGUAGCCGGACUGAGAGGUUGAUCGGCCACAUUGGGACUGAGACACGGCCCAGACUCCUACGGGAGGCAGCAGUGGGGAAUAUUGCACAAUGGGCGCAAGCCUGAUGCAGCAACGCCGCGUGAAGGAAGACGGUUUUCGGAUUGUAAACUUCUGUUCUUAGUGAAGAAUAAUGACGGUAGCUAAGGAGCAAGCCACGGCUAACUACGUGCCAGCAGCCGCGGUAAUACGUAGGUGGCAAGCGUUGUCCGGAAUUACUGGGUGUAAAGGGAGCGCAGGCGGGUGAUCAAGUCAGCUGUGAAAACUACGGGCUUAACCCGUAGACUGCAGUUGAAACUGUUCAUCUUGAGUGAAGUAGAGGUUGGCGGAAUUCCGAGUGUAGCGGUGAAAUGCGUAGAUAUUCGGAGGAACACCGGUGGCGAAGGCGGCCAACUGGGCUUUAACUGACGCUGAGGCUCGAAAGUGUGGGGAGCAAACAGGAUUAGAUACCCUGGUAGUCCACACUGUAAACGAUGAUUGCUAGGUGUGGGGGGUCUGACCCCUUCCGUGCCGGAGCUGACGCAAUAAGCAAUCCACCUGGGGAGUACGACCGC